rnacentral:misc_RNA from 1 species
GAUGAAGAACGUUAGCGAAAUGCGAUAAGUAAUGUGAAUUGCAGAAUUCAGUGAAUCAUCGAAUCUUUGAACGCACCUUGCACCCUUUGGCAUUCUGAAGGGUAUGCUCGUUUGAGUGUCAUUGUACUCUCACACUCCCGAUCUUUGCAUUGGGAGCAGUGGACUUGGGUUUGCUGCUUCACCGUCGCUUACCUCAAAUAGGUUAGUGCAACUCUUGGUUGGACAUAGUACGGCGUGAUAAGUGUUCUUCGCCGGUGCCUCGCAAAGAGGGUGGCCGAUCGGGAUGUUGUGCUCCAAACCGUCUUCGGACAAUCUCUGACGACUUGACCUCAAAUCGAGUAAGACUACCCGCUGAACUUAAGCAUAUCAAUAAGCGGAGGA